AGGAUGAACGCUGGCGGCGUGCUUAACACAUGCAAGUCGAACGAUGAAGCGGAGCUUGCCCUGUGGAUUAGUGGCGAACGGGUGAGUAACACGUGAGUAACCUGCCCUUGACUCUGGGAUAAGCACUGGAAACGGUGUCUAAUACCGGAUACGAGCUUCAGCCGCAUGGCUAGGAGUUGGAAAGAAUUUCGGUCAAGGAUGGACUCGCGGCCUAUCAGGUAGUUGGUGAGGUAAUGGCCCACCAAGCCUACGACGGGUAGCCGGCCUGAGAGGGUGACCGGCCACACUGGGACUGAGACACGGCCCAGACUCCUACGGGAGGCAGCAGUGGGGAAUAUUGCACAAUGGGCGCAAACCUGAUGUAGCAACGCCGCGUGAGGGACGACGGCCUUCGGGUUGUAACCUCUUUAGUAGGAAGAAGCGAAGUGACGGUACCUGCAGAAAAGCACCGGCUAACUACGCGCCAGCAGCCGCGGU
rnacentral:rRNA from 1 species